AUUGAACGCUGGCGGCAGGCUUAACACAUGCAAGCCGAGCGGGGGAAGGUAGCUUGCUACCGGACCUAGCGGCGGACGGGUGAGUAAUGCUUAGGAAUCUGCCUAUUAGUGGGGGACAACAUCUCGAAAGGGAUGCUAAUACCGCAUACGUCCUACGGGAGAAAGCAGGGGAUCUUCGGACCUUGCGCUAAUAGAUGAGCCUAAGUCGGAUUAGCUAGUUGGUGGGGUAAAGGCCUACCAAGGCGACGAUCUGUAGCGGGUCUGAGAGGAUGAUCCGCCACACUGGGACUGAGACACGGCCCAGACUCCUACGGGAGGCAGCAGUGGGGAAUAUUGGACAAUGGGGGGAACCCUGAUCCAGCCAUGCCGCGUGUGUGAAGAAGGCCUUAUGGUUGUAAAGCACUUUAAGCGAGGAGGAGGCUACUUUAGUUAAUACCUAGAGAUAGUGGACGUUACUCGCAGAAUAAGCACCGGCUAACUCUGUG
rnacentral:rRNA from 1 species